GUGCUAAUGUGUUAUUGGCUUCAAGCACAUGGUGCUUUGAAACUCUGAAGCUAUGAAUGAGUGGAAAUCAGACGCGUUUCAGGACGUCCUCAGUCUCGUGUCUCAUGGUGUCAUGUCCUCAGUCUCGUGUCUCAUGGUGUCAUGUCCUCAGUCUCGUGUCUCAUGGUGUCAUGUCCUCAGUCUCGUGUGUCAUGGUGUCAUGUCCUCAGUCUCGUGUCUCAUGGUGUCAUGUCCUCAGUCUCGUGUCUCAUGGUGUCAUGUCCUCAGUCUCGUGUCUCAUGGUGUCAUGUCCUCAGUCUCGUGUCUCAUGGUGUCAUGGACGUUUCUUCUUCUUCUGCUCUGCCUACUUCUUCUCACCAGCACAAACAACCAGGAGCUGAAGGCUGGUCCAUACGAUGGCCUCCAGAAAGCUGAAAAAGAAGAAAUACAAUAUUCUCUGGACAAACAUGACAAUUCAGACUCAGGUGCCAACCAGUGCUGUGCUUGGAAAGUGACAGCGAUUGUCCUCCUUAUCCUGACUGUCCUGCUUCUGGUCAUCGCCAUCGUCAUAGGAGUGAUCUGGCUCCGAGAGUCUGACAUCUUGGCGGUAUCACAGAAAACAUCCAUGGAAAGAGCCAAACAAAGACAGGAAGAGGAGGAGCAGAAGAGAAUGGACAGAGAGAGAGAGAUCAUGACAGAGGAGGAGAAGAAGAGGAUGGACAGAGAGAGAGAAGUCAGGGCAGAGGAAGAGAAGAAGAGAAUGGAAAGAGAGAGAGAGAUCAGGGCAGAGGAGGAGAAGAAGAGAAUGGACAGAGAGAGAGAGGUCAGGGCAGAGGAGGAGAAGAAGAGAAUGGAAAGAGAGAGAGAAGUCAGGGCAGAGGAGGAGAAGAAGAGAAUGGAAAGAGAGAGAGAAGUCAGGGCAGAGGAGGAGAAGAAGAGGAUGGACUUGGAUGAGAAAAUCAGGCAGGAAGAAGAGGAGAAAAGACAGGUGAUGCUGGAGGAGGUGAAGGCCCAGUGUAGCGGUGGUCAGAUAGUUAGCAUUAGCUCCAUUAGCUUUGGGUUUAUUCUCUCAGUGUUGCUGUUUAACCACUUAAUGGAUUACUGACCGAUUUGGAUGUGCUGACAUCAUGGCAGGAUUAAGAAACCACGGGCCCCUGGGCCUGGACAUGUUAAAGGCCAAAAAGCAAAUCAUGCAUCACCACUUUUAUGUUUGAAAGGCGUCGUUCGGCAGGUGUACUGUGGCUCUGGCUGUGCUCAGUCAGCUUGUAGGUCUUGACGUUCAGAUUCUGCGCUUAAACUAGCUAUAUCGUAUCGUCUCGUCAGAUGAUCAAAUAGAGACUUGACAUUGGACAACGCAGGACAUGGUGGCUAUUAUAAAAAUAUAUAUU
rnacentral:lncRNA from 1 species